CAGCAGCCACGGGAAUACGAAGGGGGCUAGCGUCGUUCGGAUUUACUGGGCGUAAAGGGCGCGUAGGCGGGCGAAUAAGUCAGGGGUGAAAUCCCAAGGCUCAACCUUGGAACUGCCUUUGAUACCGUUUGUCUUGAGUCCGGGAGAGGUGAGUGGAACUGCGAGUGUAGAGGUGAAAUUCGUAGAUAUUCGCAAGAACACCAGUGGCGAAGGCGGCUCACUGGACCAUUUCUGACGCUGAUGCACGAAAGCUAGGGGAGCAAACAGGAUUAGAUACCCCUGUAGUCCCUGUCUCUUAUAC
rnacentral:rRNA from 1 species